rnacentral:sRNA from 1 species
UGUAAAGUGCAAAUGUCAUUGAGAUGAGU